GAUGAACGCUGGCGGCGUGCUUAAUACAUGCAAGUCGAGCGAACAGACGAGGAGCUUGCUCCUUUGACGUGAGCCGCGGGGGGGAGUGUAACGCGUGGAUACCCUACCUGUAUUACGGGGAUCACUUCGGAACACCGGAGCUAAUACCGUAUAAUAUAUUGAAGCGCAGGGUGCAAUAGUGAAAGACGGUUUUGCUGUCACUUAUCGAUGGAUCUGCGCCGCAUUAGCUAGUUGUUACGGUAACGGGCUACCAAGGCUACGAUGCGUAGCCGACCUGAGGGGCGGAUCGGCCACAUUGGAACUGAGACACGGUCCAGACGACUACGGGAGGCAGCAGUAGGGAAUCGUACGCAAUGGGCGAAAGCCUGACGGAGCAACGCCGCGUGAGUGAUGAAGGUCUUCGGAUCGUAAAACUCUGUUACUAGGGAAGAACCGCUGUGGCAGUAAACAUGCCGGUCUUGACGGUACCUAAUCAGAAAGCAACGGCUAACUACGUG
rnacentral:rRNA from 1 species